UACGUGGGGGGCAAGCGUUGUUCGGAAUUACUGGGCGUAAAGGGCGCGUAGGCGGCCUGCUAAGUCGGAUGUGAAAUCCCUCGGCUCAACCGAGGAACUGCAUCCGAUACUGGCGGGCUUGAAUCCGGGAGAGGGAUGUGGAAUUCCAGGUGUAGCGGUGAAAUGCGUAGAUAUCUGGAGGAACACCGGUGGCGAAGGCGGCAUCCUGGACCGGUAUUGACGCUGAGGCGCGAAAGCUAGGGGAGCAAACGGG
rnacentral:rRNA from 1 species